rnacentral:ncRNA from 1 species
UGUUGGCCUGGGAACGAGGAUCCGAGCCGUCCACACCGACCCCCUGGGGGGCACGGAGGAAAAGCGGUCGCCUAGACGGCUCGGGGAGUCAGUGGCGAGACCGACCCGAACAAGU